rnacentral:rRNA from 1 species
UAGGGAAUCUUCCACAAUGGACGCAAGUCUGAUGGAGCAACGCCGCGUGAGUGAAGAAGGUUUUCGGACCGUAAAGCUCUGUUGUUGGUGAAGAAGGAUAGAGGUAGUAACUGGCCUUUAUUUGACGGUAAUCAACCAGAAAGUCACGGCUAACUACGUGCCAGCAGCCGCGGUAAUACGUAGGUGGCAAGCGUUGUCCGAAUUUAUUGGGCGUAAAGCGAGCGCAGGCGGAAGAAUAAGUCUGAUGUGAAAGCCCUCGGCUUAACCGAGGAAUUGCAUCGGAAACUGUUUUUCUUGAGUGCAGAAGA